rnacentral:rRNA from 1 species
ACGGAGGGGACGAGCGUUGUCCGAAGUUACUGGGCGUAGAGCGCGCGUAGGCGGGAGAGUAAGUCCGCUGUGAAAGCCCGGGGCUCAACCCCGGAGGGUCGGUGGAUACUGCUUUUCUUGAAGGUGCUCGGGGGAGAUGGAAUUACCGGUGUAGCGGUGAAAUGCGUAGAUAUCGGUAGGAACACCAGUGGCGAAGGCGGUCUCCUGGGGCAUUCUUGACGCUGAGGCGCGAAAGCUGGGGGAGCGAACGGGA